CGUCAUCGCGUUGUGAUGUCAGACGUCGCCGGCGGUAACGGAUUAUGGAGCGAUUGAAGAUGGGCCGGCAACCAGAACUCCAGAUGAGGACUCACCAUCGUCCUGGACAACCUCAACAUGACAUCCCAACUCCUAUUAUCUGAGGACUGAGCAAUGAAAGCAAGCAUGCUAAAAGCCUUCUCAACCAUCCUGUCUACCUUUGAUGUAAAUUUCAAAGAAUUAUG